rnacentral:tRNA from 4 species
GGGCCCGUAGCUCAGAAUGGUAGAGCACCCGGCUCUUAACCGGGGGGUCGGGGGUUCGAAGCCCCCCGGGCCCG